UUUCCGCAGCGAACAGUUGAGUUACGUAGUCGCUGCGGGAUCGAUCCAUUGCUUCCGUGCUGCCGGGCUCGUUGGUGAAAAUCUUUGGCUUUUAAAAUUCAAUUGUUUCCUGCAACACAGAAUGGAUACUGCAAGAAAUUUAAAACUUUCUUUACGUAGCAAUGCAUUAAAAACAUUACAUUGAAGAAAACAGUGCAAGAAACAGUUAAGUGAUCGAUGCUGGAAGCGCCAGUGAAUUGUUCUGUGAUCAGUUAUUCUCUUCAAAUCUAUUUCAAACUCAAAUUAGUACUUCUUCCAAAGUGAGCAACGUUUGGUGUUCAUCUCUCUGUUCAAUUGUAAACUUAUCAAGAGUGGAGGGAAGAUCAAACUAUUCAGCGGUAGCAAUAAGAAGUAGACUGUUCGGAAAAGGGCCUACCUCGAGGACGGCCAGCUAUCAGCCACUGCAUCUCUAAGUCUUCCGUUAAUCAGUAUGGCUGAGCCCGGUGGCUGCUAUGGCCGUGUCUCCGGCGCCGCCGCCGGGCCGCGCCGGCGCGCAGAGCCCGCCGCAUCCGCAGCCGCAGCCUCCGCCCCAGCGCCGGUGGCCGGC